UACAGAGGUCCCAAGCGUUGUUCGGAUUCACUGGGCGUAAAGGGUGCGUAGGCGGUUGGGGAAGUCUGACGUGAAAUCUCCGGGCCUAACCCGGAAACUGCGUUAGAUACUAUCCGACUAGAGGAAUGGAGGGGAGACUGGAAUACUUGGUGUAGCAGUGAAAUGCGUAGAUAUCAAGUGGAACACCAGUGGCGAAGGCGAGUCUCUGGACAUUUCCUGACGCUGAGGCACGAAAGCCAGGGGAGCAAACGGG
rnacentral:rRNA from 1 species